AUGGCGCUCAAGGGGCCGUCGUCGUUCGCGAAGCAGCCGCGGAAGUCGUGGCGCGCGAAGCUGAUGACCCUGGAGGUGACCGUACUGUCCGCGGAGAAGGUCUUCACGGGGUGGCUCUGGCGCCGCCGCUGCAUCGCGACGCGUUCGCCGCGGUCAACACAGACUCGUCGGCCGCCCGUACCGGCUUCAACGACGAGGACGGCGACUGCAACGGGUACCCCUACUGGGGCGAGGCGGUGCGCGUGA
rnacentral:rRNA from 1 species